rnacentral:misc_RNA from 1 species
AAAGGCCUCUGUCGUGGGUGUAAUUACUCCUCUCGUCUCUCUGAUCGUCUUCUUCUUCUUCUUCAACCACACCCCUCCCUGAACUCCAUUAAUUCUUCAUGGCUAGCAUAAGCUUCAUCAUCGGCAUCAUUGGUAACAUCAUUUCCUUCUUCGUUUUUACUUGUCCCAUAAAGACAUUCUGGGAGGUGGUGAAGAAUAAAUCGACAGAGGAUUACGAAGUGUUUCCUUAUAUAAUAACAUUACUGGGCACAAGUUUAUGGACUUUCUAUGGAUGUCUGAAACCAGGUGGUUUGCUCGUAGUGACUGUGAAUGGAAUUGGUGCCACUUUCCAGUUCAUCUAUGUCACUCUCUUUCUCAUCUACGCUCCAAAGAACAAGAAGGUUCACCAUUAAUUAUCAAGUUCAUAUCUUUUCUUCUUUUAAUUUGUUUAGUUCAGACAUAUUGGAAUUAGAACUCAAAAUCUACAGUCUUGAAAACGACUGCAAAUUGAGUUUAUGUCAAGUUCAUAUCUUUAUAGCUACAUAGUCUGCAAAAAAUUAUCGAGAAUUGGUUUGCUUCUGAAUGAAAUUUCCGGUGGUGUUUAUUUAGGUGAGGGCGGCGAAGCUGGCGGCGCUUUUAAACGUUGGGUUUCUUGGGGUGGUGAUUGCAGUAACUCUUCUAGCCCUGCAUGCAAAACUUCGGCUCACUUUUGUAGGACUUAUAUGUGUUGGAAUGACUACAAUUGUUUAUGGUUCACCUCUAUCAGCCAUGAAAACAGUGAUAAAGACGAAGAGCGUGGAAUUCAUGCCGUUUUUGCUAUCAUUUUCCCUCUUUCUAAACGCAGGAAUUUGGCUAAUUUAUGCAGCAGUCAUCAGAGACUACUAUAUGACAGUGCCCAGCGUACUCGGAGUUUUGUUGGGGAUAAUCCAGUUGAUCCUUUAUGCAAUGUACAAGAAGAAGCCAAUGUCAACCAAGUCUACGAAUGAGAUGCAGGAAAAAGGUUCGGACAACGCGAUCAAAGAAGACUUGGAGAUGCAAGUAUGCAAUAACAACGGUGAUGAUUGCCAAUGCAAUCGUAAGGAAAAUGGACAAUACGCUAUUAAAGAUUCUGAGAAACAGUUUCUUUGAAUCAAAAGGUGAUGAUGAUCUUUCUUGAUUUACAAGGAAGGGAAUGGAUAUUAAUGGGUUUUUCUUAUUAAAAAAGAAAAGGCAAGACUCGAACUUCUGAUCCUGUUGAAAAAAAAAAAAU